CGAGAGUAUAAAUAGGAAGCAACCGUCCCAAUUCGCAACAAUAUUCCUCGUUAAGUGAAGCAGACAAAUCCAGAAAGAUGAUUAAAAUUGUGUUGAUCCUCGCUAUCAUGGCCGUUCUAGCCCUUACAGCCGUAGGGUUUCCGAGACCAGGCCCCGAACCGGUUCCAGCUCCACAAUAUUAUGGCUACCCGUAUUACGGAGGAUAUGCUUACCCCUACGCUUACUAUGGAUAGAGGUUGCAACUUUAAUUCUUCCUCUAUACAUGCCUAAUUCGCUUAUUAUAAUUAAUAUAUAUAAAAUUAAGUAAAACCUUGCCUGCAUAUGUGAUUUUAAAUCAGCUUUGAAUAAUAAAUAAAAAACUAUUAAAGUUAA